rnacentral:rRNA from 1 species
GAUGAACGCUGGCGGCGUGCCUAAUACAUGCAAGUCGAGCGAACAGAUGAGGAGCUUGCUCCUCUGACGUUAGCGGCGGACGGGUGAGUAACACGUGGAUAACCUACCUAUAAGACUGGGAUAACUUCGGGAAACCGGAGCUAAUACCGGAUAAUAUAUUGAACCGCAUGGUUCAAUAGUGAAAGACGGUUUUGCUGUCACUUAUAGAUGGAUCCGCGCCGCAUUAGCUAGUUGGUAAGGUAACGGCUUACCAAGGCAACGAUGCGUAGCCGACCUGAGAGGGUGAUCGGCCACACUGGAACUGAGACACGGUCCAGACUCCUACGGGAGGCAGCAGUAGGGAAUCUUCCGCAAUGGGCGAAAGCAUGACGGAGCAACGACGCGUGAGUGAUGAAGGUCUUCGGAUCGUAAAACUCUGUUAUUAGGGAAGAACAAAUGUGUAAGUAACUAUGCACGUCUUGACGGUACCUAAUCAGAAAGCCACGGCUAACUACGUG